rnacentral:siRNA from 1 species
AAGCGUUUCUAUCCAAAUUUUCGC